rnacentral:rRNA from 1 species
CGAAGAUAAGACGGAUUAGCGGCGGACGGGUGAGUAACACGUGAGUAACCUGCCUUUUACACAGGGAUAGCCUCGGGAAACCGGGAUUAAAACCUGAUGAAACUAUCAAAUCACAUGAUUAAGAAAGUUAAAACUCCGGUGGUAAAAGAUGGACUCGCGUCCCAUUAGCUAGUUGGUGAAGGUAACGGCCCACCAAGGCAACGAUGGGUAGCCGGCCUGAGAGGGUGAACGGCCACAUUGGAACUGAGAAACGGUCCAAACUCCUACGGGAGGCAGCAGUG